CUUCAUGGGGACAGGAGGAGAGAGCACCUCAGCAGCUGCAGGAGUUGGUGGUGACUGACAGCAGCAGGAGCUGAGGGUUUCCACAUGAACUAGCAGACUGCAACUAGUCAUCUCUAAAAUAAUCGUCUUCCUGAAGACAGCCAUCAGGCUUCCGCAGCUAUUUAGGAUACGAUGUGGCCGGUGCCGGGGCAAACUGGAAGAUUUUCUCUUUGCUGUGAGCUUUAAUCAUUAUCCUUAAUUUGAGAGACUGACGUUUAGUCAUUAUGUCAUGUUCUCAGCACACUCCUGCAAAAGAACUGGCAAAAACAAGCCUGGGCCCGGCGCGGCGGCCCUGCGCCCCCUGGCGGCGGGUGCUGGCCAGGCCCCCGGCGGCCCGGGCCCUAUCUCCCAUCGCUUGGCUUAUUGCAGUGGCCGGCCGCGAUAAGGGCUCCGCGCGGCGCGAUAUUGGCCUCAUUUUCCCCCGCAGACGGCGGGAGCGAUAUGAAGCCUCUCGCCGCGGCCCGCAUCCUCCCCGCCCUUUUUCAUUUCCUCUGCCCGCGUGCAAAUCACACCACUCUCUCUCACCCGAGCCGAGCGGGGCCGCGACGAGUGAGACAGAAAGAGUGAGGGGGGAAAACACCUAGUGAAAAAUCGAGGGGGAAAAGAACGAGGGAAAAGUCCUAGAGAGAAAAAAAAAAAGAGGGAGAAAACCCACCAAGAAAGAGCGAGUGAAAAAGACCUAUCAAGAAAGAGCGAGGGGAGGAAAGACCUGCCGAGAAAAGGCGAGGGUUAAAGACCAGCGAAAACCCGAGGGGGAAAAAGGAGCGAGGGAAACGACCUCGCGAGGAAAAGCGAUGGGUAAAACCUAGCGAAAACCCGAGGGUAAAGAGCGAGGAAAAAGACCUAUCGCGGAAAGGCGAGGGGUAAAAGACUUGCCGAGAAAGAGCGAGGGGAAAAAAAAAAAAAAAAAAAAAAAAAAAAAAAACAACUAGCGAGCAGGAGCGAGGGAAAAGGACCUACCGAGAAAGAGCGAGGGAAGAAAACCUAGCGAGAAAGAGCGAGGGGAGAAAACCUAACGAGGAAGAGCGAGGGAAAAGGACCUGCCGAGAAAGAGCAAGGGAAGAAAACCUAGCGAGAAAGAGCGAGGGGAGAAAAGAC